rnacentral:tRNA from 1 species
GGAGAGGUGGCCGAGUGGCUGAAGGCGCACGCUUGGAAAGCGUGUAUGCACGUAAGUGUAUCGCAGGUUCGAAUCCUGUUCUCUCCGCCA